UUCCAUCUGAGAUAACUCAGUCAGUAGAGCAUGAGACUCUUAAUUUCAGGGUUGUGAGUUCAAUCCCUGCAUUAGGAAA